GCUCCUAUACAUGCAAGUCGAACGAAGUAGCAAUACUUAGUGGCAGACGGGUGAGUAACAUGUGGGUAUCUUCCCUUUGGUGAGGAAUAACACGAGGAAACUUGUGCUAAUACCUCAUAAGUCUUUACGGAGAAAGCUUUAUGCGCCAUUGGAUGAGCCCGCACUUGAUUAGUUUGUUGGUGGGGUAAUGGCCUACCAAGACAAUGAUCAAUAGCUGAUUUGAGAGGAUGAUCAGCCACAUUGGGACUGAGACACGGCCCAAACUCCUACGGGAGGCAGCAGUAGGGAAUCUUGCACAAUGGAGGAAACUCUGAUGCAGCGAUGCCGCGUGAGUGAAGAAGGCCCUUGGGUUGUAAAGCUCUUUCGUCGGGGAAGAAAAUGACUGUACCCGAAUAAGAAGGUCCGGCUAACUUCGUGCCAGCAGCCGCGGUAAUACGAAGGGACCUAGCGUAGUUCGGAAUUACUGGGCUUAAAGAGUUCGUAGGUGGUUAAAAAAGUUGAUGGUGAAAUCCCAGAGCUUAACUCUGGAACUGCCAUCAAAACUUUUUAGCUAGAGUAUGAUAGAGGAAAGCAGAAUUUCUAGUGUAGAGGUGAAAUUCGUAGAUAUUAGAAAGAAUACCAAUUGCGAAGGCAGCUUUCUGGAUCAUUACUGACACUGAGGAACGAAAGCAUGGGUAGCGAAGAGGAUUAGAUACCCUCGUAGUCCAUGCCGUAAACGAUGUGUGUUAGACGUUGGGAAUUUAUUUUCAGUGUCGCAGUGAAAACAAUAAACACACCGCCUGGGGAGUACGACCGCAAGGUUAAAACUCAAAUGAAUUGACGGGGACCCGCACAAGUAGUGGAGCAUGUGGUUUAAUUCGAAGAUACGCGCAGAACCUUACCAACACUUGACAUGUUCGUCGCGACUCUAANAGAUUAGAGUUUUCGGUUCGGCCGGAC
rnacentral:rRNA from 1 species